GCUCAGGACGAACGCUGGCGGCGUGCUUAACACAUGCAAGUCGAACGGAGCACCCUUGACUGAGGUUUCGGCCAAAUGAUAGGAAUGCUUAGUGGCGGACUGGUGAGUAACGCGUGAGGAACCUGCCUUUCAGAGGGGGACAACAGUUGGAAACGACUGCUAAUACCGCAUGAUGCGUAACUGGGACAUCCCGGAUACGCCAAAGAUUUUAUCGCUGAAAGAUGGCCUCGCGUCUGAUUAGAUAGUUGGCGGGGUAACGGCCCACCAAGUCGACGAUCAGUAGCCGGACUGAGAGGUUGACCGGCCAUAUUGGGACUGAGAUACGGCCCAGACUCCUACGGGAGGCAGCAGUA
rnacentral:rRNA from 1 species